CCUACGGGAGGCAGCAGUGGGGGAUAUUGCACAAUGGUGGCAACCCUGAUGCAGCGACGCCGCGUGGGUGAAGAAGCGCCUCGGCGCGUAAAGCCCUGUCAGCAGGGAAGAAAAUGCCGGUACCUGAAGCAGAAGCACAGGCUAACUACGUGCCAGCAGCCGCGGUAAUACGGAGGGGGCAAGCGUUAUCCGGAUUUACUGGGUGUAAAGGGGGCGCAGACGGCGAUGCAAGCGAGGAGUGAAAGCCCGGGGCCCAACACCGGGACUGCUCGUGAGACUGCGUGGCUGGAGUGCAGGAGGGGUAGGCGGAAUGUAUGGUGUAGCGGUGAAAUGCGUAGAGAUCAGACGGAACACCGGUUGCGAAGGCGGCCUACUGGGCUGCAACUGACGUUGAGGCCCGAAAGCGUGGGGAGCAAACAGGAUUAGAUACCCGGGUAGUC
rnacentral:rRNA from 1 species